GACGGGGGGGGGCAAGUGUUCUUCGGAAUGACUGGGCGUAAAGGGCUCGUAGGCGGCCAACUAAGUCAUACGUGAAAUCCCUCGGCUUAACCGGGGAACUGCGUCUGAUACUGGAUGGCUUGAGUUCGGGAGAGGGAUGCGGAAUUCCAGGUGUAGCGGUGAAAUGCGUAGAUAUCUGGAGGAACACCGGUGGCGAAGGCGGCAUCCUGGACCGAUACUGACGCUGAGGAGCGAAAGCCAGGGGAGCAAACGGG
rnacentral:rRNA from 1 species